UGUGUACUCCCUCCGUUCCAAAAUACUUGACUUCCAUUUGUCCAAAAAUGGAUGUACCUAUAUACUAAAAUAUGUCUAGAUACAUAUAUAUUUUGACAAAUAGAAGGCAUGUAUUGUGCAACGGAGGGAGUAGAAU
rnacentral:pre_miRNA from 1 species